AUCACUUCAACGAAAUCUAUCUCAAAUAUUGAAAAAUGGCUUCAGUCUUCAAUAUUAUUACCGUAUUCCUUGUUCUGACUCUUGCUUGCGUCAUCCAAGGUCAAGGUUUAAGGUUUUAUGGAGACGAUGAUAGAUUCGAUGAUCUGUAUGAUGACCUGUAUGAUAGAUUCGAUGAUUUGUAUGACGAUGAUCUGUACGAUGACCUGUAUGAUGACUUAGACGACUUUUAUGAAUUUGACGAUGAUAACUUCUAUGGCAGAGAUCCAUUUGGUUUCAAUCCACGUUUUGGUUUGGGCUACCAUAAUUUCCGUUUUGGUGGCAGGAAUUUUGGUUUUGGAAAAUAGUUUAUUAAAUUUUUGACUGUGAUAUAA